UACGUAGGGGGCAAGCGUUGUCCGGAAUCAUUGGGCGUAAAGCGCGUGUAGGCGGCUCGGUAAGUCUGUUCUGAAAGUCCAAGGCUCAACCUUGGGAUGCGGAUGGAUACUGCCGAGCUCGAGUCCGGAAGAGGCGAGUGGAAUUCCUGGUGUAGCGGUGAAAUGCGCAGAUAUCAGGAGGAACACCAAUGGCGAAGGCGGCUCGCUGGGACGUGACUGGACGCUGAGACGCGAAAGCGUGGGGAGCAAACAGG
rnacentral:rRNA from 1 species